AGUGAACGCUGGCGGCGUGCUUAACACAUGCAAGUCGAACGAGAACGGAUUAUAGCUUGCUAUAAUUGUCAGCUAAGUGGCGCACGGGUGAGUAAUGUAUAGGUAAUAUGCCUCUUACUAAGGGAUAACAAAUGGAAACGUUUGCUAAUACCUUAUACUCCUUAUUAACAGAAGUUAAUAAGGGAAAGAUUUAUUGGUAAGAGAUUAGCCUGUAUUGUAUCAGUUAGUUGGUGGGGUAAUGGCUUACCAAGACUAUGACACAUAACUGGUUUGAGAGGAUGAUCAGUCACACUGGCACUGCGACACGGUCCAGACUCCUACGGGAGGCGUCAGUGGGGAAUAUUUCACACUGGACGUGAGUCUGAUGCAGCGACGCCGCGUGGAGGAUGACACAUUUCGGUGCGUAAACUCCUGUUAUAUGUGAAGAUAAUGACGGUAUUAUAUGAAUAAGCACCGGCUAACUCCGUGCAAGCAGCCGCGGUAAAAC
rnacentral:rRNA from 1 species